GGACGAACGCUGGCGGCGUGCUUAACACAUGCAAGUCGAACGGGAGUAUUGAAGAAGCUUGCUUUAGAGAUACUUUAGUGGCGGACGGGUGAGUAACGCGUGAGGAGCUGUCCAAUGCAGGGGGACAACAGUUGGAAACGACUGCUAAUACCCCAUAAGCCGAGAGGUAAAAGGAUUUAUCCGGCAAUGGAGGUACUCGCGUCCUAUCAGCUAGUAGGUGAGGUAACGGCUCACCUAGGCGAAGACGGGUAGCCGGCCUGAGAGGGCGAACGGCCACACUGGAACUGAGACACGGACCAGACUCCUACGGGAGGCAGCAGUGAGGAAUAUUGGUCAAUGGGCGAGAGCCUGAACCAGCCAAGUCGCGUGAAGGAAGAAGGUUCUAUGGAUUGUAAACUUCUUUUGCAGGGGAAUAAAGGACGGUACGUGUACUGUUUUGUAUGUACCUUGCGAAUAAGGAUCGGCUAACUCCGUGCCAGCAGCCGCGGUAAUACGGAGGAUCCGAGCGUUAUCCGGAUUUAUUGGGUUUAAAGGGUGCGUAGGUGGAUUGUUAAGUCAGUGGUGAAAGUUUUCAGCUCAACUGAAAAAUUGCCGUUGAAACUGUCGAUCUUGAGUGCAAAUGAGGUAGGCGGAAUGUGUUGUGUAGCGGUGAAAUGCUUAGAUAUAACACAGAACUCCGAUUGCGAAGGCAGCUUACUGGGAUGCAACUGACACUGAUGCACGAAAGCGUGGGUAUCAAACAGGAUUAGAUACCCUGGUAGUCCACGCAGUAAACGAUGAAUACUAGCUGUAUGCGAUACACCGUAUGUGGCACAGCGAAAGCGUUAAGUAUUCCACCUGGGGAGUACGUUCGCAAGAAUGAAACUCAAAGGAAUUGACGGGGGCCCGCACAAGCGGAGGAACAUGUGGUUUAAUUCGAUGAUACGCGAGGAACCUUACCCGGGCUUGAAAUGCAGACGACCGACAGGGAAACUUGUCUUCCAGCAAUGGUGUCUGUGUAGGUGCUGCAUGGUUGUCGUCAGCUCGUGCCGUGAGGUGUCGGCUUAAGUGCCAUAACGAGCGCAACCCUUGCCAUUAGUUGCUAACAGGUUAAGCUGAGAACUCUAAUGGGACUGCCAUCGUAAGAUGCGAGGAAGGUGGGGAUGACGUCAAAUCAGCACGGCCCUUACGUCCGGGGCGACACACGUGUUACAAUGGGUGGUACAGAGGGUUGCUACCUGGUGACAGGAUGCUAAUCUCUUAAAUCCACUCUCAGUUCGGAUCGAAGUCUGCAACUCGACUUCGUGAAGCUGGAUUCGCUAGUAAUCGCGCAUCAGCCAUGGCGCGGUGAAUACGUUCCCGGGCCU
rnacentral:rRNA from 1 species